GACGUAGGGGGCGAGCGUUGUCCGGAUUUAUUGGGCGUAAAGAGCGUGUAGGCGGUUAUGCAGGUCCGCUGUGAAAACUGGAGGCUUAACCUCCAGACGUCGGUGGAAACCGUAUGACUAGAGUCCGGAAGAGGAGAGUGGAAUUCCUGGUGUAGCGGUGAAAUGCGCAGAUAUCAGGAAGAACACCCGUGGCGAAGGCGGCUCUCUGGGACGGUACUGACGCUGAGACGCGAAAGCGUGGGGAGCGAACAGG
rnacentral:rRNA from 1 species